rnacentral:rRNA from 1 species
UGAGGAAUUUUCCACAAUGGGCGCAAGCCUGAUGGAGCAAUACCGCGUGAGGGAUGAAGGUUUUCGGAUUGUAAACCUCUUUUAAAUAGGAAGAUUAUGACGGUACUAUUUGAAUAAGCAUCGGCUAACUACGUGCCAGCAGCCGCGGUAAUACGUAGGAUGCAAGCGUUAUCCGGAAUUACUGGGCGUAAAGAGUGUGUAGGCGGCGCGUUAAGUUAAAUGUUAAAUUCUCAGGCUCAACUUGAGGGCUGCAUUUAAUACUGGCGUGCUAGAGGAUGGUAGAGGUAAGCGGAAUUAGCGGUGUAGCAGUGAAAUGCGUAGAUAUCGCUAGGAACACCAAUGGCGAAGGCAGCUUACUGGCCCAUUACUGACGCUGAGACACGAAAGCGUGGGGAGCGAACGGG